CGGCGGGCCGGGCUGGGGCGGCUCGGCCGAUCCCGAGCCGUGGGUGGCACCUCGUGGGAGCGCGAUGCUCUGGGCAGGACAGCUCCCUCGUCGGGCUUUUGAUGAUCGCGGAUGGAAGGGAAUUAAUAAAAUAUCUCACUCUGAAGAGUUGCUGGUAAGCCUGGAGAAACUAUGGCAGAAGGGCUCCCACCAGAAACACUGCCUGCCAGAUGUGACCUUCAAUUGUUUUCCUGGAUGAGAUCGAUGCUCUUGCUCCUGUAUGGUCCAGCAAACAAGACCAGGUUCAUAGGUGGGACAUGUCUUGUAUCUGUAUAGAAGGUGCUUGAUCUUUGUGAAAAGAAGACCACGACCUAUUCAACUUGAUGUGACACUUUCAUUGAACCUGAAAAGUAGUAAUUCAGUGCUAGUGAAUUUCAGAUGAUUUUUAAAUGAGAAUUGAAAACAAUUCACUAGGCUUGAAAUCAGCCCAGGGUCUGUGUUAUCUGUAUUUACUGUCUUAAAAUGACUCUUUUGCAAAUCAGUAUCUCAUCAUUAAAACAUUGUCCUUUUUGAGGGAUCAAUGGAAAUGGUUAUGUGGAACUGAAGAAAAUUUACUAAACCAGUGAAUGAAAAUCA